GUAAGGAUUUCAAAAGCUGACAACAUGAAGACGGGUUUCUUCAAAACAGUCAUUUAAUCAACACUUCUCUCUAUUUCACGGACACUGAUGAAAAGACUCGGAAAGAACGCUUGAUAGUACAUACAGGAGAAUACUUGGCGCAGUUCUCGAUGUUUCUUGGCAGCAAUAAUCCCACAAAGCAGAGAUUGUAUGGAAGUUUUCUUACCACCAACUUGUGCUGGAAACCCACACAUGGACAUAGGAGUGUCGGUAGAGAAUCAACUUGUGGAAGACACUGGAUAUGAAGGUUGCUAUGGAAGACCGGGACAUCUGUUUUUCUUCAGACACACAUUAUGCCACGGAAAAGGAAGUCCACUUAUGAAAAUACUCCACAUGUACAUAGGAGGAAGCUUCGUCGUCAAUCUGAAAGCUGUGAUGCAACGGACGAACGACUUUCUGGACAAAGAGAGAAGCAAACUGAGUCUCGGCAAAAUGAAACCUUUGGUGAGCGUCAAGAAAAGACAGGAGCAACAUAUAUUUUCGCCAUAUAGUUGCAAGAAGAAAUGAAUCUGAAGAAGAUAGACAAGAGCGUUUUAUUACUGAUAGAAACAGGUAUCAGCUCUUUUCCCUCUACAUAUUCCAUUUUAGUACAUAUUUUUCAUAAGGUUUUUCAAAAACCGAAACAUGUAAAUGUAUUUAUACAAAGGAAAAUUAAAAUGUACCCAAUUUUAAGAAA